ACGGGGUGCAGCAGGCGCGAAACCUCCGCAAUGCACGCAAGUGCGACGGGGGGACCCCAAGUGCCACUCUUAACGGGGUGGCUUUUCAGGAGUGUAAAAAGCUCCUGGAAUAAGGGCUGGGCAAGACCGGUGCCAGCCGCCGCGGUAACACCGGCAGCUCGAGUGGUAGCCGCGUUUAUUGGGCCUAAAGCGUCCGUAGCCGGUCCGAUAAGUCUCUGGUGAAAGCCCACAGCUCAACUGUGGGAAUCGCUGGAGAUACUAUCGGACUUGAGGCCGGGAGAGGCUGGAGGUACUCCCAGGGUAGGGGUGAAAUCCUAUAAUCCUGGGAGGACCACCUGUGGCGAAGGCGUCCAGCUGGAACGGACCUGACGGUGAGGGACGAAAGCCAGGGGCGCGAACCGGAUUAGAUACCCGGGUAGUCCUGGCCGUAAACGAUGCGGACUUGGUGUUGGGACGGCUUUGAGCUGUCCCAGUGCCGAAGGGAAGCUGUUAAGUCCGCCGCCAGGGAAGUACGGCCGCAAGGCUGAAACUUAAAGGAAUUGGCGGGGGAG
rnacentral:rRNA from 1 species